UCCCUAGAACCCCAAACCCGAAACCCGAAACCCGAAACCCGAAACCCGAAACUCGAAAUCCAAAACCCGAAACCCCAAACCCCGAAACCCCAAACCCGAAACCAAAAACCCGAAACCCGAAACCCGAAAUCCAAAACCCGAAACCCCAAAACCCGAAACCCCAAACCCCAAACCCGAAACCCGAAACCUGAAACCCUAAACCCUAAAUCCCAUAUUCCAUAUUUAUUUUUAGGUUUCGUCGUUAUUUCCUCGUUAUGUU
rnacentral:lncRNA from 1 species